AUACGGAGGGUGCAAGCGUUACUCGGAAUCACUGGGCGUAAAGCGCGCGCAGGCGGCUUGAUAAGUUGGAUGUGAAAGCCUACGGCUCAACCGUAGAACUGCAUCCAAAACUGUCAGGCUAGAGUGUGGGAGAGGAAGAUGGAAUUAGUUGUGCAGGGGUAAAAUCCGUAGAGAUAACUAGGAAUACCAAAAGCGAAGGCAAUCUUCUGGAACACUACUGACGCUGAGGCGCGAAGGCGUGGGGAGCAAACAGGAUUAGAUACCCUAGUAGUCC
rnacentral:rRNA from 1 species